GGACUACAUCUCUCAGCAUGCCCCGCGGGAGGCUCCCUGGCGGAAGCCGCAUGCCGAGGCGCGGGGCAGGCUGGGAGCGGUAGGCGGCGGUGACCCGCGUGGCGCUGCCGGGCCCGCGCCAUUUUGAUCGCCGGCCGUGGCGGUGCGGGGUGCUGCCCUACCGUCCCCUCAGCCUCGGCUGCGGCACCCCUGGCGCCCUGCGACAGCCUUCACACCUCGGGGUUCGUGCAUAAAACGCUGCAUGAGGCAAAACCACCGUGUUCAUGUGGCAGAGGGUCUGAUGGAGAGGAGGUUUUCAGUGGUGCCAAGUACAUCAUACACUAAGCACUUCAUGGAAGGACCAUCAGAAGUAGAAGAAUACUUGGUACACACAAGUGGAUUUUCCUGAAAAACAUAGUGGCAUGAACAGUUUCUAGUAAUGGCAAUGUGACGUGUCCUGAAGAAAGAUUUCCUUGCAACAGGAAAUAAAACAGGAAAAUGCAUUUCAUAGAAAACAAGUAGAAACAAGUGCUUUUGGCUUAUUCAGUGAUGAGCUGGACUACUUUGUCAGAACUGCCUGACAGAUGUGGAUGAUGUAACCAGGAGGAAGUGUAACACCUGAAGAGAUUAGUGGCUUGGAGUGGGAUGCCAUGCUUUUAAAAGCCUGCUGAAACACCUGCCAUUUUGUUUAAUAGAUACUGUCUCUGCAUGUUUAAAACACCAUCUUUCCAAAAUAGUGAACUGUCUUCUGUAGGAAGUAUAGUAGUGAUAUUAGGGAAAGGAGUACCUGGAAAACUCCUUGACUUUUUAAUACCAUAUGGGUAGACAGUCUUGCAGAUACUAGAGAUCUGUGGUAACUCAGGAGUGGAGCUCACAGGCAGGCCCUGUAAAGACGGGGUGAAAGCAAAGCAAAAGACAAUGUCUACAGCUUGCAUCACUGUAUCCUAGUGAGGAGUUGGGGUUCUAUGGGCUGCCACUUCAGCAGCAGAAGACUAGUACCACACUGGUGGAACUGCCCUUUGAGGAAUACGCUGGCAACAGUACUUCGAUUGCUCUCUGGGGGAAAGAGGUUGGUAAAAGAGAGGGAAAAGAAAGUUACAUACAUUGGAACUUGGGCUUUUGUCUUGGUUUGAAAAGACAGGUGUCUGCUGAGGAAGGCAGGUGCCUCCCUUGAAAUGAAUAAUAUAAACCUCUUGCCUCUGAAUUGUUAUAAUUUUGAAAUUAAGGGGCUCUCAGGCAAAGAUAUGGGACUAGGAAUAACAGUUCUUUAUUAGGAAAAAUAAAAGUAAAAAUAAAAAUGCAGUAAUACAAAACAACACUG